rnacentral:rRNA from 2 species
GACGAACCGAGCGAACGUUGUUCGGAAUCACUGGGCUUAAAGGGCGCGUAGGCGGGCUGUCAAGUCUGGGGUGAAAUCCCGCGGCUCAACCGUGGAACUGCCUCAGAUACUGACGGCCUCGAGGGAGGUAGGGGCGAGCGGAACUGUGAGUGGAGCGGUGAAAUGCGUUGAUAUUCACAGGAACUCCGGUGGCGAAGGCGGCUCGCUGGACCUUUUCUGACGCUGAGGCGCGAAAGCUAGGGGAGCAAACGGG